rnacentral:rRNA from 1 species
AUACUGCGGGCCUUGGGACCGGGAGAGGCGGAGGGUACCCCUGGGGUAGGGGUGAAAUCCUAUAAUCCCAGGGGGACCGCCAGUGGCGAAGGCGCUCCGCUGGAACGGGUCCGACGGUGAGGGACGAAGGCCAGGGGAGCGAACCGGAUUAGAUACCCGGGUAGUCCUGGCUGUAAAGGAUGCGGGCUAGGUGUCGGGCGAGCUUCGAGCUCGCCCGGUGCCGAAGGGAAGCCGUUAAGCCCGCCGCCUGGGGAGUACGGCCGCAAGGCUGAAACUUAAAGGAAUUGGCGGGGGAGCACUACAAGGGGUGGAGCGUGCGGUUUAAUUGGAUUCAACGCCGGGAACCUCACCGGGGGCGACGGCAGGAUGAAGGCCAGGCUGAAGGUCUUGCCGGACACGCCGAGAGGAGGUGCAUGGCCGCCGUCAGCUCGUACCGUGAGGCGUCCACUUAAGUGUGGUAACGAGCGAGACCCGCGCCCCCAGUUGCCAGUCCUCCCCGCUGGGGAGGAGGCACUCUGGGGGGACCGCCGGCGAUAAGCCGGAGGAAGGAGCGGGCGACGGUAGGUCAGUAUGCCCCGAAACCCCCGGGCUACACGCGCGCUACAAUGGGCGGGACAAUGGGAUCCGACCCCGAAAGGGGAAGGGAAUCCCCUAAACCCGCCCCCAGUUCGGACCGCGGGCUGCAACUCGCCCGCGUGAAGCUGGAAUCCCCAGUACCCGCGUGUCAU